GGGCCAGCUCCGCCCCUCUCCCCGGUGACUGUAUUAGCGCAGCGCGCACCGGCUCGGUCUUUCCGUCCCGGGCUUGGUGGCCGACCCACCGGAGCCGAUCCCCACUGCCCAGCCGUGCUGCUGCCUCGGACACAAGCACAGGUUGACAACUACGAGAAAGAAAUUCGUGACUGAAUGGAUCCAAGGUGAAGUAUUACAUGUGGUAACCAGGCUUGCCUGUAUUCCACCUUAGGAUUAGUGUCCAAGCUGAAAUAGGUGAAGUCCAUUUUACAGAUAGAGUGAGGGCCAUGUGAGUUUCCUUGGAUGGCCUUGUAACUGAUUACCCUGAAGGUAGUUUCCUAAAGUUUUUAUCAAUGUACUAGGAUCCUGCCCCACCCCUUCUGCAUGUCUAGCUGUCCUAGAAUCAGAUCCACAUGGCUAUGACAUGCUGGCGGUUUUAAAGAUGCAGACAAACAAGAUUUCAUGCUAGCUCAUUAGAAUGUAUCUGGACUUCAUGCUAGGACAAGUUCUUUGCUAGUAACCAGUCACGUGCUAGCAAUUGAGGUGUGUUGACCUGUAUAUUGUUGCCUAUGAGUAAUUUUCCAUAAUCUUAAAUAAAGCACUUUUCCUGUGUCAAUUCCAUGGCGGUCUUUUUCUUUCUGUAAGUAGUCACUCGUUCUUAACUACUGGUUUGCGGGGAGUCAAUCACUUGGAGCAGUCUGUCCUUCCACCAUGUGUGUGCGUCCCUAGGAUUAAACUCUGGCUGUCAGGCCUGGUAUCAGCCACUAUUAGCUUUAGGGUUGCUUCUUAGCAUUGUUUUUCCCUUUGGCCUUCCAAGCUUCU